UACGCAGCCAGAGAACUCAAUGCGGGCGGAAGCUGCCAAGAAUUCAGCUCGGAGUCGAGCGAGAAGAAAGAGGCUGCAGGAAUCGAGGCAGAGCGUGCUAGCUGAUGAGGAAGUGGAACUCUGGAUGUCCGCCACCGUCGACCUCAUGUCUGACGAGGAAGAUGGCGUCGUUGGCGGGGU